AAUAGCUCAGUCGGUAGAGCGCUCGGCUGUUAACCGAUAGGUCGUAGGUUCGAGUCCUACUU
rnacentral:tRNA from 1 species